UCCAAAUAACUAUUUCUAUCAUGGGACAUCAUUUUUUUAGCAAAUUUUCCCUUAUCAUCAACAUACACCCAAUAAAUCCAACAUAUCCCAUCCUACUGUCCCUCCCAAUCUAGAUUAUAUUCAUGACCCUAUUGAAUACCCAACCCCUUUUCCUUUCAAUCAUCAAUAUGACAUAACAUCUCCCUUAUCUUAAGCACCUGCACAUUCCAUCAAUCCUUCUCCCAACUCCCAAAAUAAACCCUUAAUCAUAACCCCUCUCACUGCCACAUCCACUUCCCCUCCAGCCCCUAACCCAUCACCCCACUCCUGUUGUCGUCCUCUCACCAACAUCCCUACUGUUCAAAAUUCGUCACACACAUCCAAACCGCCUUCAUAUAUUCAAGAUUUUCAUUAUGGAUUGUUAAUAGGUACCAACUCACCUCCCAUUCAACAUUCUCCAGGUAAUAAUCUCCAUGAGAUCAAUCACACUAAACAUAUGCUUAACAUUGUUUUAAGCAUUAAAGAUCAAGGAAAUUUAAAGUAUUUUUUAGGUUUCGUAGUUGCAAGAUCUACUCAAGGAAUUUCACUUUGUCAAUGCAAAUACAAUCUCGAUCUUCUUCAUGAAACAUGAUUGUUAGCUACAAAGCCAGCCUCGACACCAAUGGAUCCAAGCCAUAACUAAAACAACGACAAUUCACCUCCAUUUUCCGACCCGACUCAAUACUUUUUGUGUGCAGACUAAGCCAACAUAUGGAAUCUCCCACCAAAAUUCAUUUACAAGUUGCUUUCCACAUCCUCCAUUAUAUCAAACAUUCUUCAGCCCUUAGUCUAUUCUUCAACAGUAACACAAAUUCUACACUCACGGGUUUCUCCGACUCUGACUGAGGUUCAUGUCCAAUCACUCGCUGCUCUACUACAUGAUUCUGUUUUUUUAUGGGAACGUCCUUAAUUUCAUGGAUAUGUAAGAAGCAACACAUAUUAUCGCGCUCUUCAUCUGAGAGGGAAUACCGCGCUUUAGCCAACACUACUUGUGAGGCUAUGUGACUUCAAUACUUGAUGAAAAAUUUCAACAUCUCCAACCAUAAACCCAUCACUAUAUAUUGUGAUAAUAGGAGUGCCACACAAAUUGCCACUAAUCCCGUCUUUCACGAAUGUACAAAACACAUUGAAAUUGAUUGUCAUGUCAUUCGCGACAAAUGUUGACAACACUAUUCAUCUCAUGCCUAUCAAUUCUACAAAUCAUGACGCCGAUAUAUUCACGAAGUCUCUACACUUGGGUCCAUUCUGUAACCUUGUUGCCAAACUAGGAUUACUUGACAUUCAUUUUAGUUUGAUGGAGGAUAUUAAAGUGUAACUUUUAUUUUUCUGGCCGUUAACAUUUUAUAACUCCCAAGCCUAUUUUACUGUUGUAAUUAGCUAUUUAAGUAGGUUGGUAUCUCAUAUUGUGUAUGUGGAAUACUUUCAUAUUUUAUAAUGAAAAAUCAAAUGUAAUGCAUUUUUCUGCCA